GACGAACGCUGGCGGCGUGCUUAACACAUGCAAGUCGAGCGGUAAGGCCUUUCGGGGUACACGAGCGGCGAACGGGUGCGUAACACGUGGGUGAUCUGCCCUGCACUUCGGGAUAAGCCUGGGAUACUGGGUCUAAUACCGGAUAUGACCUCCUAUCGCAUGGUGGGUGGUGGGAAGAUUUAUCGGUGCAGGAUGGGCCCGCGGCCUAUCAGCUUGUUGGUGGGGUAAUGGCCUACCAAGGCCACGACGGGUAGCCGACCUGAGAGGGUGACCGGCCACACUGGGACUGAGACACGGCCCAGACUCCUACGGGAGGCAGCAGUGGGGAAUAUUGCACAAUGGGCGAAAGCCUGAUGCAGCGACGCCGCGUGAGGGAUGACGGCCUUCGGGUUGUAAACCGCUUUCGGCAGGGACGAAGCGCAAGUGACGGUACCUGCAGAAGAAGCACCGGCUAACUACGUG
rnacentral:rRNA from 1 species